rnacentral:rRNA from 1 species
ACGGGAGGCAGCAGUGGGGAAUAUUGGACAAUGGGGGAAACCCUGAUGCAGCAACGCCGCGUGAGUGAAGAAGUAUUUCGGUAUGUAAAGCUCUAUCAGCAGGGAAGAUAAUGACGGUACCUGACUAAGAAGCUCCGGCUAAAUACGUGCCAGCAGCCGCGGUAGUACGUAUGGAGCAAGCGUUAUCCGGAUUUACUGGGUGUAAAGGGUGCGUAGGUGGCAUGGUAAGUCAGAUGUGAAAUACCGGGGCUCAACCCCGGAGCUGCAUUUGAAACUGCCAGGCUGGAGUGCAGGAGAGGCAAGCGGAAUUCCUAGUGUAGCGGUGAAAUGCGUAGAUAUUAGGAGGAACACCAGUGGCGAAGGCGGCUUGCUGGACUGUUACUGACACUGAGGCACGAAAGCGUGGGGAGCAAACAGGAUUAGAUACCCUGGUA